rnacentral:piRNA from 1 species
UAAGACGGAGUACGAUAAACAUAAGUUAAU